GCUACACCCCAAUUUCUCAGUUUUGAGAUCAAUAAAGUAUAUCCAUCUAUAUCUAAAUAACAAUACGGCUAAAAUGUAUAAAUGCUUCUUCACUCUUCAAUCAAACAAAGCAGAAAAAGUAACCAUGUGAGAGUGUGGCAGCUAUUUCAGAUUCCCUGACAGAAACCCUUUACGUGAAUAAUAACCAGGAGUCAGAGUGAAUAUGGAGCCGAUGUCCAACAUUAGAAAAUGAAUUCCUCCAUCAGUGCGCGCGGCUCUUUAUGAUGAGCAGAGUAUAAUGAGCCGAUAAUGAACCAGCUGUAUCAUGUGUCUCCCUUCAGGCAGGAGGACGAAUCAGUCUCUGCGGUCGCCCUACGAGUCCGGAUUCUCCGUGACAGAAAUCGACCCUGAGAAGGAUUACACCAUCCCUCGCCCGCAGACCACCAACUUCCUGGAGCCUUAUGACGAAUACUGAUUAAAAUUAUUGUCCUAUCUGCUCCUCACCAGUGGUGGAACAAGUAUCCAUACCCUUUACUCAAUUAAAA